AGCGAACGCUGGCGGCAGGCCUAACACAUGCAAGUCGAACGAACUCUUCGGAGUUAGUGGCGGACGGGUGAGUAACACGUGGGAACGUGCCUUUAGGUUCGGAAUAACUCAGGGAAACUUGUGCUAAUACCGAAUGUGCCCUUCGGGGGAAAGAUUUAUCGCCUUUAGAGCGGCCCGCGUCUGAUUAGCUAGUUGGUGAGGUAAAGGCUCACCAAGGCGACGAUCAGUAGCUGGUCUGAGAGGAUGAUCAGCCACAUUGGGACUGAGACACGGCCCAAACUCCUACGGGGGGCGGCGGUGGGGAAUCUGGGGCAAGGGGCGAAAGCCUGACGCGCCCAGGCCGGGUGAAUGAUGAAGGGCUAGGAUUGUAAAAUUCUUUCACCGGGGACGAUAAUGACGGUACCCGGAGAAGAAGCCCCGGCUAACUUCGUG
rnacentral:rRNA from 1 species